GGGCUGGCUUCUGCAGCACAUAUACUGAAACUGGGACAGUAUGGAGAAUGUUAGCAUGACUCUCGUGCAAGGAUGACAGAGAUUCAUGAUGAAUUCCAUUUUCCG
rnacentral:snRNA from 14 species